rnacentral:rRNA from 1 species
UACGGAGGGAGCUAGCGUUGUUCGGAAUUACUGGGCGUAAAGCGCGCGUAGGCGGCUUUGUAAGUUAGAGGUGAAAGCCCGGGGCUCAACCCCGGAACUGCCUUUAAAACUGCAUCGCUUGAAUCCGGGAGAGGUGAGUGGAAUUCCGAGUGUAGAGGUGAAAUUCGUAGAUAUCGGAAGGAACACCAGUGGCGAAAGCGGCUUCCUGGUCCAGCACCGACGUUCAGGCACGAAAGCGUGGGGAGCAAACAGG